rnacentral:misc_RNA from 1 species
GUUAUGUUUUUUAGGCGGCACAGAGGCCACUAAUCAUUCUUUUAUACAAAGGGUUUGUGGUAUGCGGCAUCGGGCGGGGCUCUCGCCGCCACCCUCCGCCGUAAAGGUGCACAGGGGGUUUGUGAAGGUUGAGCGCGACGGGCGACCCGCUGCAAAGGCCCUUUCGGAACCCGAGCAGGGCCGACCCGCCUCGUCAGAGAUACGAUAAUGAUCCUUCCGCAGGUUCACCUACGGAAA